GAUGAACGCUAGCGGGAGGCUUAACACAUGCAAGUCGAGGGGUAACAUGAUGUAGCAAUACAUUGAUGACGACCGGCGUACGGGUGAGUAACGCGUAUGCAACCUACCCUGUACAGGGGGAUAGCCCGGAGAAAUUCGGAUUAAUACCCCAUAAAGAUAUUUAGAGGCAUCUUUAGAUAUUUAAAGUUUCGACGGUACGGGAUGGGCAUGCGUAACAUUAGCUAGUUGGUAGGGUAACGGCCUACCAAGGCGGCGAUGUUUAGGGGUCCUGAGAGGGUGAUCCCCCACACUGGUACUGAGACACGGACCAGACUCCUACGGGAGGCAGCAGUGAGGAAUAUUGGUCAAUGGGCGCAAGCCUGAACCAGCCAUCCCGCGUGCAGGAAGACGGCGCUAUGCGUUGUAAACUGCUUUUCCAGGGGAAGAAAAACCUCGAUGUGUCGGGGCUUGCCGGUACCCUGGGAAUAAGCAUCGGCUAACUCCGUGCCAGCAGCCGCGGUAAUACGGAGGAUGCGAGCGUUAUCCGGAUUUAUUGGGUUUAAAGGGUGCGUAGGCGGAUUAAUAAGUCAGUGGUGAAAACCUGCAGCUUAACUGUAGAAUUGCCAUUGAUACUGUUAGUCUUGAGUGCGGUCAAGGUAGGCGGAAUGUGUAAUGUAGCGGUGAAAUGCUUAGAUAUUACACAGAACACCGAUUGCGAAGGCAGCUUACUGGGCCAUUACUGACGCUGAUGCACGAAAGCGUGGGGAGCGAACAGGAUUAGAUACCCUGGUAGUCCACGCCGUAAACGAUGAUCACUCGCUGUUGGCGAUACACAGUCAGCGGCUAAGCAAAAGCAUUAAGUGAUCCACCUGGGGAGUACGGCCGCAAGGCUGAAACUCAAAGGAAUUGACGGGGGCCCGCAC
rnacentral:rRNA from 1 species